rnacentral:tRNA from 1 species
AAAUAAGACACAAUUAAAGUAAUUAGUUUCGACCUAAAAAGAAAGAUAUUAAAUUAUCCUUAUUUA